GAACAAGGUCUCCGUAGGUGAACCUGCGGAGGGAUCAUUA
rnacentral:rRNA from 1 species